rnacentral:lncRNA from 1 species
UAGUCACAAAUUUCCAUGGGCUGGCCACCAGCUCUCCAAAGAUGCCUUUGAGACAAACUGCGGGCAGAGGCAGCCAAGACCUCUAAAGCAGAUUUGGAUCCCUGAGGAAGUGUGCGGGUAGAAAGGGCAGUGGUGUCUUUCUGACACUUCGGACAACCCCUCCGAACUCCAUCCUCAUCUUUCGAGCUCCUCCAGCCACAGAUCUGACACUAGCAUACCCAGUAUGGACUGGAGAAGGGUUGUCUUUUCUCGCUGCUGCUGUUGUAGAGCACAAUGAGGUUGCUGACUGAUGUUAGCUGCAUGCACAAGGAAGAAAAAGCUGAAGCUGACAGGAGAAAAAAAAAAAAAAGAAAAAAAAAAGAAAAAUGUAAAGAAGAAAAUAGUCUACAAAUUGGGAAAAGCAUUCUGCUUUGACAGAAUAAAAAUAAAACCUGGAAUAGGAAAGGAAAGGCAUGAAAGAGAGUACGUUGCCAGGGUAACAGAGUGUAAGCAGGAGAACAGCACCUUGCAGAUCACAAAGGCAAAUCUGCAGAAAGAAAUUUCAAGCACAACAGUAAGAAAACACAUGGAGCUGAAGCUGACCACACAAGAGAACAGCUGCAUGCAAGACAGGACAACAGAGUUCUUAGCAAAUUGGGCAUGA